rnacentral:lncRNA from 1 species
UUUUUAUUUUUUUAUUUUAUUUUUUUGGUAAAGACAGGGUCUCACUAUGUUGCCCAGGCUGGUCUUGAACUCCUGAGCUCAAGGGAUCCUUCCACCUUGGCCUUCCAAAGUGCUGGGAUUACAUGGGUGAGCCACCAUGCCUGACCAUUAUACAACUUUUUAUCUCACAUAGCUCCUGGUACCUAGCAACACUCAGUAUGUACCAGUAUGUACAUGUAGAAUGUACAUGUAGUGUGACUUCCCAUUCGGUUUACUGUAUACCACAUACAUUCUCUUUCUGUGAACUUAUUGGUCACAGAAAAAAUAGACCUAGAAGAGAUUUUAUAAAAUUGGAUAGAGUUCACACACACACACAUGCAUGCAUACAUACCACACACACAAACUGCUCUUUGGGUGUAAUAGAACCAAAGCUAAGAAGACAGCAGAACCUUGUAAAUUGUAUCCCUGAAUUAAGAAUGAUAAUGUUCUCAAGUGUACAACUUCCUAAACACACCGCACAUACUCACUUCCCAAGGGUAAAGAGGGCACUGUGCAUGCAGGCAGCCCACCCUAAGGGAAGAAACUUGGGAAAGCGACGCAAGACACCGGAGGUAGGCCAGCCUAUAAAGUCCUAGGAUCAUGGUUAAACCGGGCACUUGUUCUUCAAAUGACCCACUUGGAUCUCUUCGAAGUGCGCUUUCCUUUCUUUCCUGCUCUAAAGCUUUUUAAUAAACUUCCACUCGUGCUCUGAAAAGAAAAAUAAUGUUCUGAUUAAACAAGUAAUAUUCCAAAUCUGAAGACUAGUAUCAAGCUAUAUUUCAAAAACCAAUCACCCGAUAAAAGCCCUGGCAGUGACAAGUGAGGAUAAUAGCACGGAUUUUGGCCUCUGCAUGCUGCACACAUUGUUCUCACUGGAAAGCCAGUCAUCUCUGAGCAGAUAGCAAUUAAACUGGUCUUCUCAGCUCAUGCUCUUCGCUACAUGAUGAUACUUCACAACGAGGAUAAUGCAUAUAGUCUAUGAACUUGGGCUGGUGGUAUCAGAACAGCUUGUUAGGAAAUCCUAGAAAGGCAUCUGAGCCAGGGACUUUCUCCUUCACAGAGCAUUCUCUUCAUGGAAGGAUGAUGAAGUAAAUCUUAUGUCAGGGAGCCACCUGAAGAAGUCACAUGAGAACUCAGCUAUUGUCACUCUGCGUGUGUAGCUCUGUUUUUCUCAGUCUCUGCUUUUACCAUGAGGCUUUCUACAAAUAUCCUGGUUGCACUAUACCGUAUGGGGCAUUACCAAGGAAGCACAUGCUCUCACUAUCAAUUUUAUGGAAUAGGGCAAAUUCUUACCAUCAUCUAAAUUCAGGGAACAUUUAGCCUUACAGAGCUGGGUCGAGAAAAAUACACACAUAUUCUCUAUUUUAAUAGCUUCUAUUCAUGACAGUGUAGUGAUUACUGGUGGCUUUGGUACCAGACAGAGCCUGGGUUUGAAUUACAAUUCCAGCACUUACUAGAUACGGGUUCUUGGACAAAUGACUUCACCUCCCUCAGUCUCAGU